rnacentral:lncRNA from 10 species
ACUUCAGCCCACUUGCUUUUGGAAAAUGACUCUGCGUGUUAUUAUGUUUUGCAAGACAUCAAAGGAUGUGGAAAAUCCAUUAUAAAUACCAGGGUAUGUUGCUCGCCCGAAGGGCCAGGGUUACUGAGGUGGGGGCGGGGGUGGAGCCUUGGGUUUCCAUUCAGUUCCUUCUGCUCUCCUUCCCCUCCGUGGCCCCAAGCAGGGACCUCUCCUCCCUGGGGCUUGACCCAGUGGCUGGAGGGAGGGAGGGGCCUGUCUGAAUUCACCCUCCUUUAAGCCUCAGUUUCCCCUCUGUGCACAGAGGCCCUGGGCUGCAGCCCUGAGCACUGCCCUCUCCCGUGGGCUCCCCAGGUGUGUAGAACAGUUUGCAGAGUGCUGGCCUGGGUCCCAGGGCCCGUCUGUCUCCCGCUUGUUGGUAAGAAUCCCUGAAGAAUUCUGUGCAGAAUCCCUCGUUUCCUCCAGCAGGUAUCUGACAGGCACCACAACCUGAGCAUGUGUAGAUGGACGCUGGUUUCUUCUGCUCUCUGCCUCAUCUCAGGUCCGGCCCUGCCACCUGUCCAGGGGCUUAGCCCAGAACCCCAGAAUCUGCUUUGAUGCCCCCGGGUCUGCAGGCAGACUUUGCUCUCGAAGGCACCUGAGUCUCACCUCCUUGGCCGUCAGCUUGGCACAAGUUACCCUGGCUGCUCCCCAGACUGUUCCCAUGGCCUGGCCCUGGCCGGGGACUCCCACUCUGCUUGCGGUCCUGAAGACAGCCAGAGAGGCCUUUGAGAGUGGAAGGCAGACACCAUAUGCCACCGCCCCCAGCUGACACUCAUAGGGGCUGCCCCUCAUGCUCUGGAUAAAACUCCGACUGGCUACUGUGCCUCUUUGGGUCUCCCCGGCCCAGGCCUGGCCAGGGGUUCCAGCCUUCACCAGGGGAAGGAGCAUCUGUGAGUCCAGGGAGUGUGCCUGGCCCAAUGCCUCUGCCCAGGGCCUUUGUGCCUGCCGUCCCCUCCCCAAUUCCACGCCUCCUGUUGCCCUCCGCAGAGGCACCUCUCCCGUGACC